rnacentral:rRNA from 1 species
CAGUCGCCACGGGAAUACGGAGGGGGCUAGCGUUGUUCGGAAUUACUGGGCGUAAAGGGCGCGUAGGCGGUUUGUACAGUUGGAUGUGAAAUUCCUGGGCUUAACCUGGGGGCUGCAUUCAAUACGUGCAGGCUUGAGUGUGGAAGAGGGUCGUGGAAUUCCCAGUGUAGAGGUGAAAUUCGUAGAUAUUGGGAAGAACACCGGUGGCGAAGGCGGCGACCUGGUCCAUUACUGGCGCUGAGGCGCGAAAGCGUGGGGAGCAAACAGGAUUAGAUACCCGCGUAGUCCCUGUCUCUUAUAC